UUUUUCAAUCUGGGAAUACACCGGGUAUCUAGCUGUAGAGAGUUUAGGUUUCCUUUGUAUAUAAUGCCUUAGCUCCCAAAAAAAAAAGCUCUUUGUUUUGUAUAAAAACUCAAAAUAUAUUAAAGUUCUUCAAAAUAUAUUUCUUCCCGCCAGGGACCUUUUUACAUCAGACUUUGAAAAUUCAUAAAAGCUAAUCCAACCGUUCACUUUGUUUCAAAUUUCUACAUAAGGUAGAUGCUAUACUUAACUUUUACCACAAAACAAUUGAACCGUACAUCUAUCACCGAUCGUUCGGCAUCUAAGAAACCCUAGCAGGUGCACAAAACCCUAACUUACAAGCACCUGAAAACUAUUUUCCUUAUAUCUCUUAAACCCAAGCUCCAAAUCACACAAAACUUUUAUAGAAAGCUUUAUAACAAGAUUACACUCAAUCUUAAAAAUUUUGAGCUAAAACCUCAUCAAAUUGUGUAAGAUAUAGCUCAAAUCACAAGCACAAGUAAUUCGGGCUACUUACUACCCUUAGAUAUCAAGCGCUGACUUCAACUGCCAAUAUCUCCUUCAUAAAAGCUUGGAAUUCGAUAAACAGUAUGCACAAAUUGUAGCCGAAAAAGUGUUCUCUUCAAAUCCGGUCGCCGAUUCUCGUUUGCCGUCCGUACGCGUGCGGUAUGCUCAAAAGAGUGACAGUACGUCGAAAACUUAUACCUUAACUUUGAGCGCCUAUAACUUCUUCAUAUAAACCCCAAAUGACACAAAUUUUGCACCAAAACCAUAUCCAAAAACCUAAACCUUCUGACCCUAGCCUUCAAAGUUCGAAUGGCC
rnacentral:lncRNA from 1 species